rnacentral:rRNA from 1 species
GACAGAGGUGCCAAGCGUUAGGCGGAAUCACUGGGCUUAAAGCGUGUGUAGGCGGAUCGUUAAGUGUCUUGUGAAAUCCCACGGCUCACCCGUGGAACUGCUGGGCAUACUGGCGAUCUUGGGCCAACUAGGGGCAGUCGGAACAAGCGGUGGAGCGGUGAAAUGCGUAGAUAUCGCUUGGAACGCCGAAGGUGAAAACAGACUGCUGGGGUUGCGCCGACGCUGAGACACGAAAGCCAGGGGAGCAAACGGG